CAGCAGUAGCCGCGGUAAUACGGAGGGUGCAAGCGUUAAUCGGAAUUACUGGGCGUAAAGCGCACGCAGGCGGUUUGUUAAGUCAGAUGUGAAAUCCCCGAGCUUAACUUGGGAACUGCAUUUGAAACUGGCAAGCUAGAGUUUUGUAGAGGGGGGUAGAAUUCCAGGUGUAGCGGUGAAAUGCGUAGAGAUCUGGAGGAAUACCGGUGGCGAAGGCGGCCCCCUGGACAAAGACUGACGCUCAGGUGCGAAAGCGUGGGGAGCAAACAGGAUUAGAUACCCGCGUAGUCCCUGUCUCUUAUAC
rnacentral:rRNA from 1 species